rnacentral:rRNA from 1 species
AUUGAACGCUGGCGGCAUGCCUAACACAUGCAAGUCGAACGGUAACACGAAGAGUUUUCCUUCUUUUCGUAGGGGUCGGGGGGGGGAUACUAAUGUCGGGUACCUUUCUUUAUGGGGGGGGUAACUUACGGAAAACGUAACAAAUAACCCAAUAACUCUCCAAACCCAAGGUGGGGGGCCUUCGGGCUUUUUUCCUUCUAGUUGGCCCCGCUGGGAUUAGCUAUUAGGUGGGGUAACGGGUCACCUAGGGCACGAUCCCUAGCUGGUCUGAGAGGAUGAACGGCCACACGGGAACUGAGACACGGUCCAGACUCCUACGGGAGGCAGCAGUGGGGAAUAUUGCGCAAUGGGCGCAAGCCUGAUGCAGCCAUGCCGCGUGUAUGAAGAAGGCCUUCGGGUUGUAAAGUCCUUUCAGCGGGGAGGAAGGGAGUAAAGUUAAUACCUUUACUCAUUGACGUUACCCGCAGAGGAAGCACCGGCUAACUACGUG